AUGGCGCUUCUUUCUGAGCACUACGAUCAACAUCACCGUGCGCAUAUGAUGCGGGAUGAAAUGCGGGAAUUAAAACCCUUGAAACUGAGAUCACACGGUGCCUCAUCAAACAUCAUGCGCUAUGAUGAGCGGUACACGCAGUACAUCGAGACGACAGGGCUCCUCCCCUUCAUACAUCUAGUUACCCGGUCCACGCCAUCCCUCAAUGGGGCUGCAAUCACGGCCCUUGUGGACCGGUGGAGGCCUGAGACGCACACAUUUCACCUCAUGACUGGGGAGAUGACGGUGACGCUAUAGGAUGUUUCUAUGAUCUUAGCACUUCCCAUCGAAGGAGAACCGGUAUGCAUGGACACCAACUCUUCGGGAUGGCGCGAGCAGAUGCAGGUUAUAAUUGGAAGCCCCCCCCCCCCCCCCCCCAAGUCCGAGGACCCCAUUCAUGAUAGAGUACCGGCGGGGGCUACUUAUACUUGGAUCACGCAGAGCUUUGCAGAGUGCCCCCCUAAUGCAAAUGAAGAGGUGGUUCAGCAGUACGUUCGUGUGUACGUGUGGUACGUUAUCACGAGGACACUCUUCGCCGGUGGCGGUGGUAGGACAGCCCAAUGGAUGUGGUUGAAGGCACUCACUGUAUGGGAUGCGAAUUGGAGCUGGGGUACAGCUGCGCUGGCGUAUCUGUACCGACAGUUGGAUGAUGCUUCUCGUAGGAUUGGUCCUGAGAGUGGGAUUGGCAGUCCUUUGCUCCUGCUUUCAAUAUGGAGUUGGGAGCGCUUCCUAGUAAGCCGGCCGAAGGUGCUGAACUUUCAUCCUUGGGAUGAUCAUGGCAAUCCGCUGCACCGACCAACAUGGGCAUACAAGUGGGAUCGUGUCUCCGAGAGCACGAGCUCGACAAAAAUUCUGUAUAAGCAAUACACUAACGAGUUCGAUGCCCUUACUCCGGAGCAGGUUGUUUGGCAGCCAUACGGUGCGGGGGAAACAUACGGUUAGACCUUCGAGUUUGAACUUAAUCCGAAGUGCCUGGAAGAACAACAUAUGUGGGUGAUGCACUGCCCAAUGGUAUGUUUGUGGGUCGUUGAAUUACAUUUGCCGCAUCGUGUCAUGGCACAAUUUGGAUUGUUUCAGACUAACCCGCCGAAGAGGAAGGACACGGGCAUCAGACUUCAUGAACUUGACAGGAAGAAGUGCAAGAAGAUCCAGAAUUGGCAUGUGGUUCAUGGGAACCAUGUCGACAAGUUUAAGCGGUGUCUUGAGAAGGCAAAUGAAGCUAGAGGAUCACAACUUCGAGAGCAUUGCCCACGGGCCUUUAGCAACUACGUGCGUUGGUAUCUCGCCAACACACAUGCCACCAUAUGUCCACCGGCUUACGACCCAGAAAUUCUGGAAGAGCCCGUGCUAUUCGAUGAGGUUGCAGACCUUGAGUACAACCGACUCGUAAGGGAAGGGUGCCAAACAGAUUUUGCUCAUGUCUUGAAGUUUGUGCGUGAGAAGAUCAGGAAGGAUGCCGAUGCGUGUGAGUCGGUCUUAGAAAGCACGGCUAAGUCACAGAACGGUGAUGGUACACUCCGAGACUUUGUGAAGUGAACCGGACAAAGACUACGCCGACUUGCCAACAUUAUAGAAUGCCGUGACACUGAGAUUGUAUCACCGUCACAGUCAUCUUCCUCCUCGCCUUCUGAUGAUGUACAAGCCUCCCCGGCUGACCUAGAAGACGAUGGAUCAAUGCAGGAAGGAGAUGAUGUGGAUGACAACACCACGUUGGAGGCAUGGCAACGAUCAGCGUUCGUACUCAAACCUAGGAAGCCGUUGAAGCGCUAUACCCCUUCAGAUUACGAGAAAAGAAGGAAGAUUGUUUAUGACGAUGAGGACGAAGAUCAGGAACAAGAAGAUGAGGACGUAGAAGAGCAAGAGGCUGAAGAUGAAGACGGAGGAGAGGAAGAGGAAGAAGAUGUUCAACCUCCUCGCCGACGAAAGACCGCGGUUGCGAAAGGCAAAGGCGUUAGACGGUCUACUAGGACACGCACGAAGAAGUAGACUAGCAAUGAACCUAUCUUAGUUUGGACCAUGUUUAUAUUUUUAUGAACUUGUGUGGAUUAUGUGGUCUAUGUUGCUAAACUUGUGUGGAUGAUGUGGCUUAAUUUAU